rnacentral:rRNA from 1 species
GAGUUUGAUCAUGGCUCAGGAUGAACGCCGGCGGUGUGCCUAAUACAUGCAAGUCGUACGCACUGGCCCAACUGGUUGAUGGUGCUUGCACCUGAUCGACGAUGGAUCACCAGUGAGUGGGCGGACGGGUGAGUAACACGUAGGUAACCUGCCCUGUACAGGGGGAUAACAAUCAGAAAUGACUGCUAAUACCGCAUAAGACCACAGCACCGCAUGGUGCAGGGGUAAAAACUCCGGUGGUACAGGAUGGACCCGCGUCUGAUUAGCUGGUUGGUGAGGUAACGGCUCACCAAGGCGACGAUCAGUAGCCGGCUUGAGAGAGUGAACGGCCACAUUGGGACUGAGACACGGCCCAAACUCCUACGGGAGGCAGCAGUGGGGAAUAUUGCACAAUGGGGAAACCCUGAUGCAGCAACGCCGCGUGAGUGAAGAAGUAUUUCGGUAUGUAAAGCUCUAUCAGCAGGGAGAAAGUGACGUAC